rnacentral:rRNA from 1 species
GUAGGUGGCAAGCGUUGUCCGGAAUUAUUGGGCGUAAAGCGCGCGCAGGCGGUUCUUUAAGUCUGAUGUGAAAGCCCACGGCUCAACCGUGGAGGGUCAUUGGAAACUGGAGAACUUGAGUACAGAAGAGGAAAGCGGAAUUCCACGUGUAGCGGUGAAAUGCGUAGAGAUGUGGGGGAACACCAGUGGCGAAGGCGGCUUUCUGGUCUGUAACUGACGCUGAGGCGCGAAAGCGUGGGGAGCAAACAGGGAUUAGAUACCCUGGUAGUCCACGCCGUAAACGAUGAGUGCUAAGUGUUAGGGGGUUUCCCGCCCCCCUUAGUGCAGCAGCUAACGCAUUAAGCACUCCGCCGUGGGGUAGUACGGCCGCAAGGCUG